AACCUGCGGAAGGAUCAUUAAACCAUUAUGAAAAGUUCGCUGGGAUCGGGGAGUUGGGCAAGUCCCUCACCCAUCCCCCAGCGUGCUUAAAUAAUAUCCACCCAUGUCUUUUCUGUACUACUUGUUUCCUUGGUAGGCUCGCCUACCAGCAGGACACCCAUAAACCUUUUGUAAUUGCAGUCAGUGUCAAAAAAGCAAAUCAAUUAAAACUUUCAACAACGGAUCUCUUGGUUCUGGCAUCGAUGAAGAACGCAGCGAAAUGCGAUAAGUAGUGUGAAUUGCAGAAUUCAGUGAAUCAUCGAAUCUUUGAACGCACAUUGCGCCCUUUGGUAUUCCAAAGGGCAUGCCUGUUCGAGCGUCAUUUGUACCCUCAAGCAUUGCUUGGUGUUGGGUGUUUGUCCCUAUGGACUCGCCUUAAAUUAAUUGGCAGCCGGCCUACUGGUUCUGGAGCGCAGCACAAUGCUUGCUCCUACCACACAAAGCCUCUAUCCAUAAAGGCUAUACUAUUUACGCUUGACCUCGGAUCAGGUAGGGAUACCCGCUGAACUUAAGCAUAUCAAUAAGCGGAGGAAAAGAA
rnacentral:rRNA from 1 species